UCCUACAGCCACAACCCCAUCCUUCCCUGGCGGCCGGAGCGUGUGGGCAAUUGUGGGAAGGCCGUGCCUUCCCUUGCCUGCAUCACCUGCCGAGCAUGGUGCUGAACACGGGGUGAUUGCGGAACGCUGUGUUUAGGGGUGGCUGCUCAUCUGUCUCUUCAUGGGGGCCCUUAUCCCCAUUGCUCCAAACUCUGGUGGCACCUCUCCUCCUAUGGGAAGCCCCCAGAGCGCCCCUCACCAGGCCUGGGGCCGAUGCCCGCCCCCCAGCUCCAAGGGGGCUUGGUCUGUCUCCUUGCCCUUUCCCCGGGAUGGCUCUUGUAUUAAAACUCCCCCAGUACUCCACGAUGCUUCCCAUCUACAAGCAGCCGGCCAAUAGCUGCCCAGUGCCUGGCCUUGCUCGAUAGGGACGCACGCCCGUAUGCAGCGAUCCCCUGGGAACCCAGUGCCCCGGGGCCCUCUUUCAGAGGGGGUUUCAAACUCCGGGUGAACCCUGAUCAGAAGCCACUGGAUAAUCUCAGAAGGGGGCCGUGUAGUCUGCAUCAAGCACUCGCUGUUAGCGGCAGCCUCCUGCUUCCCGACAAUUAGUCCUCAACCUAUUAAGUGAGCCAAUUCAAGCAUGGGAGAAACUCGCAGCAGCGCCUAAUAACUCCGGCGCUCCUGCCAGGAUGAGGUGCAAUUAGGAGCACGCAGCCGUGGAGACACAAGCAAGUCUUUGUGCAUCGCCCGGCCGCCGCAGCACCCCUGGGGCGAGGCAAGAGCCUGCGAUGAAAGGCAGGCCCAGAGCGGAGAUGUCGAAACGGAGAAGGUGGAGAGCUAGAGGAAGGAAAGAAGAAAGGGCGAAGAUUCCUGGGAAAUGAAUCCAAAGCCGGGGUCAGAAAGAGACCAGGCGGGUCUGGACAGGGGAACAGAAUCACCCUGAGAGCACAUCAGGCAAGUUUGCCACUUUGGCUCUGCGGAAAUGUUUCCCGGGAGGCCAGACGUCGGCUUGGUGGAAAAUCAUGCACAGCCCAUGCUGCCUGCAUGUGGAAACGGCUGUCUGCCUGGCUCCUCAUUCCCCCACAUCUGGCUUACUACAGCGCCCGGUUCAUCAAAUGUAUGGAUAAACAGUCUCUUCCACGCAGCAGCCUGGGGCCGGAGCCACUUCCUCGACAACUGCUCUCGGGGGCUGCCAGGAAAGGGGAACGGAAGCUGCUGAGACGAGCGACACCAAAUGCAAGGAAGGGGCAGUGAGCUCCGCUUUGUUUCACUGCGCUCGGCUGCCAGCGCUGAUUGAUGUGGAUCCCAACCACGGGCUUCCCCUGCCUCCGCGCCAGCUGCCCGGGGAAUGUGCUGCAAUAUCCCCCUCUGAAGUGCCCCCUCCUGGCUUGGAAUUCACACAAGAACUUUGCUCCAGUCUUGCUUUGAUCCAGCUUCGCGCCACGGAGCCAGGCCCUUCUCUAGGGACGCUCGCCUUUCUUCCUCCCCUCCCUAGGGGCUUGGAUCCCUGGAUUUGUAUUGCUGCCGAUAGCACCUCCCAGCAGCCCCGAUCCAUUGUGCAGCACAAGGGCAGCUAUCAUAUGACACACGUGGGUGGUGCUAUGCAAAUAAGAUGACAGGGUGGUCUGGCUGAUAGGACACUUGUCUGGGAGUCAGGAGACUGGAGGUUUAUUUCCAGCUCCGCCUCUGGCCGUCAGCAAAUCGUUUUCCUGCUCCGUGCCUCAGUUUCCCCUACCGUACUUUCUCUAUCUAGAGUGUAAACUCUUUAGGGCACGCGCUGUCUUUGUGCGUUUACAGCCCCCGGGGCUCUGAUCCUGGCUAAGGGGGUCCCAGCGUAGCAGGAGUUCACAACACACCCUGCAGUAACAUUGCAACGGUCUCGUUUGAGCCUCGGAGCCUGGCAGUGAGAGCUGGAUCCUUCCGAAGUCCUGGGCUGACUGCUGCUGAGCGCAACGACAGUGUGGCUAAUAAAGGACUAGCUCUCGGCAAGCCAGCCUCCCAGGGGACCGUCGGAGACCGCCGAACAUAGAUUCAAGGUCCAGAUUCCAGAGGAAGAAAAUUACCCCCCCUCCCAACUAUAAGAAGAACAUUUUUUGUAAAGCAUCUGACCAUUUCAAUUUACUCCCCCUCCCCCAGUUCGCCUACGGAUCCCCCUUGGCCCAGAGCCUAUGGGAGUAAGGGGCGUGCCUGGGCUGUCCCCUGCCACAGUCAUUUGAUGUGCCAGCAGAGCCCCAAUAAGCCACCGCCCACCCUUUCGCUGCCUGACUGCCAGGCCAGGUGA